UGGGAUGUUUGAGAAAAAAGGCCACACUUUCACCUAUUUUCUUUGUUUCGCUACUUUGUUGUUUAUAGGAUGUGUUUACAGUGUGUAUUAAUUAUUUGUUUACAUAAACAAACACAAUUGUUGAAUGUGCUGCUUUUUUUCCACUCUCUUUUCCUUUUUUACGUUUCAUUUUUAUCUACAAAUGAUUUGUUUCAAUCUUUUUGUUCCAUAUGUUUUGAUUUACAUAUUUGAAUUUGCUAAUUUUGUGUAUUUCUUCUGAAGUGAUGGAUAGUCAGAAAAUACAAGGAUGAUUGAGCUCCGCCUGGAGUCACAACUCCUCCAACUCUGGCACAGCCUGGAGCCACAGCUCCUCCAAGAGAUAAAACAAUCACAUUAGGCGACGUGAUUCUAAAAGUGGCAUUUAACAAGGACUUACAUUGCAACCUACACUAUAAAAGCUGUAGAUGACCCGAGGACCUUGAACAAAAUUCUCUAUGUAAGGCCUCCCCACAACACACUUUCUUCAAUGAUGUUCUGUCUUUGUGGGAGAAGAAUAUAGGCAAAACUCUUGAGAAGAUAUAUGUUCCAAAAGAGCAAGUCCUGAAGGACAUUGAAGAAUCCCCUCCGAUCAAUGUGCUGCUAUCUAUCAGUCAUUGUGCAUUUGUGAAGGGAGAUCAGACUAGCUUUGAAAUUGAACUUUCAUUUGUUGUGGAGGCUUCCGACAUUAUCCUGAUGUCAAAUACACACCUGUGGACGAGUAUCUCAACAAAUUUGUCUAAACUAAGUCUAUUUUGUCUGCUACGUUAAGCAUAACGCUACCUUUGCACUAAACUUAUAGUGUAUCAAUGUUAUACUUUCUGAAUUGAAUAAGAAUGUUAAAGCUAUUAUAUGUUAAUUGGUCUGCUACUAUAAAUAACUUGCAGGUUACUUCAACUCCAAAGUCUCAGGUUUAGAAGUAUAAGUUCAAAUUUUUAUAUACUGUAAUCAAACUUUAUAAAUCUUUCUUACGGCAAUAUUUCUCACUAUAACUGCUCUAUCAUCCUGUUUUUGGUUUCACCAUUUAGAAGCAACUGAGAGAUCAAAAUUUCACGGCCCUGUUCAGACACUUGCACCAGGACCAUGGAAGUUGCUUAUUAGCAGUGAUUAUAUUCAGUGAUAAUAUUCAGGCAAACAUUCAUGAGGACAUCAUAGCUUUUAUUGAACUGCCACAAUGAUAAUGUAUUCCCUUGGUAUCAUUGUACUC